rnacentral:rRNA from 1 species
UCAAUAGCCUAACGGCUGAACCAGCAACUUGGAAGAAUGUAAUUGUAUUAAUAUAAUUAAUACAAUUUAACGACUAAAUCGUAUAUAAUUCUAGAUAAAAUAGUGAUUAUGACAAUUUUUUAUCUAUAAGUCUUGACCAAAUUACGUGCCAGCAGUCGCGGUAAUACGUAAAAGACUAGUGUUAUUCAUCUUUAUUAGGUUUAAAGGGUACCUAGACGGAAAAUUUAGCCCUUAAAUGGUACUUAUUUUCUAGAGUUUUAUGUAAGAAGGGGAGAAUUUUUGGAGUAGAGAUGGAAAGUUAUAAUACCAAAAGGACUGAUAAAGGCGAAGGCAACCUUUUAUGUAAAAACUGACGUUGAGGGACGAAGGCUUGGGUAACGAUAAGGAUUAGAUACCCUAGUAGUCCUAGCAGAAAAUUAUGAAUGCCAUAAGUUAGAAAAUCUAGCGUGUAAAUGAAAGUGUAAGCAUUCCACCUCAAGAGUAAUGUGGCAACACAGGAACUGAAAUCAUUAGACCGUUACUAAAACCAGUAGUGAAGUAUGUUAUUUAAUUCGAUGAUCCGCGAAAAACCUUACCACAAUUUGUAUAAUAUUAAUUUAUUACAAGCGCUGCACGGCUGUCUUCAGUUAAUGUCGUGAGACUUUGGUUUGUUCCAUUAAUUAACGAAAACCCUUACUUUAUUUUUAAAAUAAACUAGUUCUCCAUUAUAUUGGAUAAGAUAAUAGGGACUAAGACAAGUCUUCAUGGCCUUAAUAUUGUGGGCUA